UUCGCAAUGCCCGAAAGGGUGACGAAGCGACGCCGCGUGGGUGAGGAAGGCCUUCGGGUUGUAAAGCCCUGUCAGGAGUUAAGAAAUGUAGACUCGCUAAUAUCGGGUCUAUUUGACAAAGGCUCCAAAGGAAGCCACGGCUAACUCUGUGCCAGCAGCCGCGGUAAUACAGAGGUGGCAAGCGUUGUUCGGAAUUAUUGGGCGUAAAGAGCACGUAGGUGGAUUUGUAAGUCAGACGUGAAAGCCUUCUGUUCAACGGAAGAAUUGCAUCUGAAACUACAAACCUUGAGUGUAGGAGGGGAGAAUGGAACAUCUGGUGGAGCGGUGAAAUGCGUAGAUAUCAGAAGGAACGCCGGCGGCGAAAGCGAUUCUCUGGCCUAUUACUGACACUCAGUGUGCGAAAGCUAGGGGAGUAAACGGGAUUAGAUACCCCGGUAGUCCUAGCCGUAAACGAUGGGCACUAAGUAGAGGGGUUUU
rnacentral:rRNA from 1 species